UACGGGGGGAGCAAGCGUUGUUCGGAUUUACUGGGCGUAAAGAGCGCGCAGGCGGUCGUUCAAGUCGCGUGUGAAAGCCCCCGGCUCAACUGGGGAGGGUCACGCGAUACUGAUCGACUCGAAGGCAGGAGAGGGUAGUGGAAUUCCCGGUGUAGUGGUGAAAUGCGUAGAUAUCGGGAGGAACACCAGUGGCGAAGGCGGAUCUCUGGGCCUUACCUGACGCUGAGGCGCGAAAGCUAGGGGAGCAAACAGGG
rnacentral:rRNA from 1 species